GACAGAGGGGGCAAGCGUUGCUCGGAAUUACUGGGCGUAAAGCGUGCGCAGGCGGUUCGUUGUGUCCGAUGUGAAAGCCCCGGGCUUAACCUGGGAAUGGCAUUGGAAACUGGCGAGCUUGAGUGCGGCAGAGGGGGGUGGAAUUCCGCGUGUAGCAGUGAAAUGCGUAGAGAUGCGGAGGAACACCGAUGGCGAAGGCAGCCCCCUGGGUCGACACUGACGCUCAGGCACGAAAGCGUGGGGAGCAAACAGG
rnacentral:rRNA from 1 species